rnacentral:rRNA from 1 species
AACGAACGCUGGCGGCGUGCUUAACACAUGCAAGUCGAACGAGAAAUCGGGCACUCAGGCAACUGAGUGCCGGAGAGUAAAGUGGCGCACGGGUGAGUAACACGUGGGUAACCUACCCCCGAAUCCGGGAUAACCUCGCGAAAGCGUUGCUAAUACCGGAUAUUGUCCUUUUGGUUGUGACCUUUGGGAUGAAAGGCAACCUCUUCAUGAAAGUUGUCGUUCAGGGAUGGGCCCGCGUACCAUUAGCUUGUUGGUGGGGUAACGGCUCACCAAGGCUACGAUGGUUAGCUGGUCUGAGAGGAUGAUCAGCCACACUGGAACUGAAACACGGUCCAGACUCCUACGGGAGGCAGCAGUGAGGAAUUUUGCGCAAUGGGGGAAACCCUGACGCAGCAACGCCGCGUGAGUGAAGAAGGCUUUCGGGUCGUAAAGCUCUGUCAAGUGGGAAAAAAGUCUGAUGAUUAAUAGUUGUCAGAUCUGAUGGUAC